UACGGAGGGGUUAGCGUUGUUCGGAAUUACUGGGCGUAAAGCGCACGUAGGCGGACUAGUCAGUCAGAGGUGAAAUCCCCAGGGCUCAACCCUGGAACUGCCUUUGAUACUGCUAGUCUUGAGUUCGAGAGAGGUAAGUGGAAUUCCGAGUGUAGAGGUGAAAUUCGUAGAUAUUCGGAGGAACACCAGUGGCGAAGGCGGCUUACUGGCUCGAUACUGACGCUGAGGUGCGAAAGUGUGGGGAGCAAACAGGAUUAGAUACCCCGGUAGU
rnacentral:rRNA from 1 species